rnacentral:rRNA from 1 species
GACGAACGCUGGCUGCGUGCUUAACACAUGCAAGUCGAACGCUGAAGCCGGGUGCUUGCACCCGGUGGAUGAGUGGCGAACGGGUGAGUAACACGUGAGUAACCUGCCCCUGAUUUCGGGAUAAGCCCGGGAAACUGGGUCUAAUACCGGAUAUGACCAAUCCUUGCAUGAGGGUUGGUGGAAAGUUUUUUCGAUCAGGGAUGGGCUCGCGGCCUAUCAGCUUGUUGGUGGGGUAAUGGCCUACCAAGGCGACGACGGGUAGCCGGCCUGAGAGGGCGACCGGCCACACUGGGACUGAGACACGGCCCAGACUCCUACGGGAGGCAGCAGUGGGGAAUAUUGCACAAUGGGGGAAACCCUGAUGCAGCGACGCAGCGUGCGGGAUGACGGCCUUCGAGUUGUAAACCGCUUUCAGCAGGGAAGAAACGCAAGUGACGGUACCUGCAGAAGAAGUACCGGCUAACUACGUGCCAGCAGCCGCUGUAA